rnacentral:rRNA from 1 species
CAGUAGCCACGGGAACACGGAGGGUGCAAGCGUUAAUCGGAAUUACUGGGCGUAAAGCGCACGCAGGCGGUCUGACAAGUCAGAUGUGAAAUCCCCGGGCUUAACCUGGGAACUGCAUUUGAAACUGUCAGGCUGGAGUCUUGUAGAGGGGGGUGGAAUUCCAGGUGUAGCGGUGAAAUGCGUAGAGAUCUGGAGGAAUACCGGUGGCGAAGGCGGCCCCCUGGACAAAGACUGACGCUCAGGUGCGAAAGCGUGGGGAGCAAACAGGAUUAGAGACCCGUGUAGUCCCUGUCUCUUAUAC